rnacentral:lncRNA from 1 species
AUGAUAGAAAUGAAUGAAGAGUUGAGAAGAAACAGACAAGAAAUUGUGACUGGAUUGAACAUGUUCUUGGAAGAAAAUGGAAGAAGGAACAGAAACUAUAAGUGAAGAUGGUAGUUCAAAAGAAGCACAUAAUAUCACCAGAACACCUCAGAAAGUAUCCUUGAGGAGUAUCUCAGCCAUGACAGAUGAAGAGAGGCUUAUGAUGAGAAUUAAGAAGUUUGGAAUAAUUUCAGAUGACAAAUUUAGAAAUCACCAGGAGCUUCAUGGUGUCAGAAGAAAAGAAAACCUUUUGAAACUGAUUCUGCCUAGAAACACUACCCCUCAAAUCAUCUACAUGCAGCUGAAGGGAAAGGAAGUCACUACAAACAUGGAAAAGAAAAGAAAGAGACUGGAACGCUUUGGACUCCUUUGAUAUUCCCCUUAACCUUCUCUCCCCAAGUUUUAUAUAUCAGAAGUAAAUAUAGUAAUGGUGGCUGAAAUGCUUAUGUGUUUUUAUUAAGAUAUUAAAAUAUUUAGUAAUGUUCUUUUUUGUCCUUGAUUUUUUGUAAUCGUAUUUUUCUAAUAUUUUUUGUAGCAUCACUUCUGUACACUUAUACAUUUUUCAAAUAUUUUUUCUAGAUAUGUUAAAUUACUUUUAAAUUGGAAUGAAAUCAGUUCUACUCACCCAUGCUGUUUUGGGGUGACUGUUUUGUAUCUUAAUGCAUUCACUUACUCAACACAAGUUUGCAUUUAUAGUGGUCAUUUACAAUCUUUGCUUAACUUUAAUGCUUUUGGUAUGUAAUUAUUAAGAAUUUAUUCAUGGAUAUAUUAUAUCUCUUGUUAAUGGCCUUGAAUUAAAUACAUAUGGUUACAGAUUAUCUGGAGUACUUGUCAAAGUAAAUAUUCAAUUUCAAGCUUGAUUAUCAUUCAUUGCUUAACCAAACAUAGUGAUAUUAGUACCAUGAAUUUGAUACAGUGUUGCUCCAUAAUUUUGAUGCUUUUCUGUAGUAAAUUUGAUAUAGAACAGUUGCUUAAGAAAAACUGCUCAAUUGUGGGACCAUUUUAUGGAACACAUCUGGGAUAAUUAGUUCAGGAUGUGUACUAUUUAGGAACAGAGGUUUUCAACAAUCUGGAAGAAAGCAUGCUCCAGAUCUGGUUUUCUUAAUGAAUAGAGUAACCUCAAAUUAUUCAGUUCUUUAAGGUGUUAGUUGUGCUAAGAAUAUAAUUUUAAAGUAUAUUAGAAGGAAAUGAAGACUAAGUUUUAUUUAGGAUGCCAAAUAAGCAGUUUACACCUGUUAGUAUGUUUCGUUUACAACAGCUGUGUCUUUUAUUAUCAGUAAACAGAUGCAGAAAGUAAUGGAAUGUUUUAAAGCAAUAUGUUAAUCCUGUUCUCCACUUCUGAACUGUCUCACAAUAUAGUGAUUAAAUAUUAA